ACCUAAUUCCUUCAAUUGUUGUUCCAAGCCAAGGUCUUUUAAGAACAAACACCAGUCGAUGUCUCUGCAGCUUUUGGGCGUCUCUUCAGUUGUCCAGUAGAGUUCCUAGAAUAAUCAAUAGAAAAUUAUUAAAUCAUGCACAUUAAAAAGAAUGAUGUCUAGUCUAAUUUCUAUUUACUGAAGCACUUACUUUCACAUUUAUCGGCGGCAUUGGAGGGAGUGGAUCCACCGCUAUGUUGACAAACUUCAACAGAUCCUGAUAAUCGAGUUUUCCUUGCUCGUUUUUGUGAAGACUAUAAUAAUUUAAUUCAUCAUGAAAAGGAAAUCCUUUAAGAACAUUGCAAAGUACAUCAACAAUUUUGUUACCGAUCAAGCAUCAGGUUGAUCAGUUCUUUUUGAAGAGGGAUUCUGCUAGCGCGCAAUAUAGUAUAAAGUUGAUUGCGAUUCAAGUAUCCAAUCCUUUCUCUGUCCCACUCGCGAAUGUCUUCCUCGAGCCUGUCCAGUUCAUUCCAAACGUGACGAGUCAGCUCCGUAUGCACCAAAGCUCUGGAAUUACACACAAGAUUUAUAUUUCACGUUUGAGAAUUUCUCUUAUGCAGAUAAUUCAUUUCUGUAAGUAAAAGAGUAAGUGUUAAAAUCGAAAGACCUGCUUUACCUUACGUACUCGCGAGGACAAACUUCCUUAUGUUCACGGAAGGAGUAGUGACGAGCCACCGUCAUUACUUCGUGCUCCGUAAUAUGGUCGCCGAGUUGCGAUGAAAUACCUCAAACAAGAAAGCCUCAAUACCGGGGGAUGAUCGUCGUUCUUAAGCGUUGAACGUGCGCUCGUCUGCAGUUUCUAUCUGAAAUCGGAAGCCUUGCAGAUUGACGGUGGUGCCGACGAAGAAAUCCUGAGGUUCGUAGUACUUUGGCUCUUCGCUGCUAAACAUGUUCUGCCCGGGUAGGCGAAGUCGUGUUCUCUUUUGAAACAGACUCUUCGUGUGUCCUAUUUUAUAAAUAAAAUAAUAAAAAGUAAAAACCUGGCACCUUGGAUACUGACGAUAAA